rnacentral:rRNA from 1 species
AUUGAACGCUGGCGGCAGGCUUAACACAUGCAAGUCGAACGAGUGGCGGACGGGUGGGUAAUGCUUGGGAAUCUAGCUUGUGGAUGGGGAUAACUACGGGAAACUGUAGCUAAUACCGCGUACCAUAGGAUGAGCCAAAGUAGGAUUAGGUAGUUGGUGAGGUAAAGGCUCACCAAGCCGACGAUCUCGAGCUGGUGUGAGAGGAUGAUCAUGCAGACUGGAACUGAGACACGGCCCAGACUCCUACGUGAGGCAGCAGUGGGGAAUAUUGCACAAUGGGCGCAAGCCUGAUCCAGCCAUGCCGCGUGUGUGAAGAAGGUCUUCGGGUUGUAAAGCACUUUAAGCUGGGAGGCGUUACCCGCAGAAGAAGCACCGGCUAACUCCGUGCCAGCAGCCGCGGUAAUUC